rnacentral:rRNA from 1 species
UACGAAGGGUGCAACGUUGCUCGGAAUUAUUGGGCGUAAAGCGCACGUAGGCGGCUUUGCAAGUCGGAUGUGAAAUCCCUCGGCUUAACCAAGGAAGUGCAUCCGAAACUGCAGAGCUUGAGUACUUAAGAGGAUCGCGGAAUUCCCGGUGUAGAGGUGAAAUUCGUAGAUAUCGGGAGGAACACCAGUGGCGAAGGCGGCGAUCUGGGAAGAUACUGACGCUGAGGUGCGAAAGCGUGGGGAGCAAACAGG